rnacentral:rRNA from 1 species
UGCAAGUCGAGCGAACAGACGAGGAGCUUGCUCCUCUGACGUUAGCGGCGGACGGGUGAGUAACACGUGGGUAACCUACCUAUAAGACUGGGAUAACUCCGGGAAACCGGGGCUAAUACCGGAUAACACAUGAAACCGCAUGGUUUCAUGAUGAAAGACGGUUUUGCUGUCACUUAUAGAUGGACCCGCGGCGUAUUAGCUAGUUGGUAAGGUAACGGCUUACCAAGGCAACGAUACGUAGCCGACCUGAGAGGGUGAUCGGCCACACUGGAACUGAGACACGGUCCAGACUCCUACGGGAGGCAGCAGUAGGGAAUCUUCCGCAAUGGGCGAAAGCCUGACGGAGCAACGCCGCGUGAGUGAUGAAGGUCUUCGGAUCGUAAAACUCUGUUAUUAGGGAAGAACAAGGAUGUAAGUAACUAUGCAUCCCUUGACGGUACCUAAUCAGAAAGCCACGGCUAACUACGUGCCAGCAGCCGCGGUAAUACGUAGGUGGCAAGCGUUAUCCGGAAUUAUUGGGCGUAAAGCGCGCGUAGGCGGUUUUUUAAGUCUGAUGUGAAAGCCCACGGCUCAACCGUGGAGGGUCAUUGGAAACUGGAAAACUUGAGUGCAGAAGAGGAAAGUGGAAUUCCAUGUGUAGCGGUGAAAUGCGCAGAGAUAUGGAGGAACACCAGUGGCGAAGGCGACUUUCUGGUCUGCAACUGACGCUGAUGUGCGAAAGCGUGGGGAUCAAACAGGAUUAGAUACCCUGGUAGUCCACGCCGUAAACGAUGAGUGCUAAGUGUUAGGGGGUUUCCGCCCCUUAGUGCUGCAGCUAACGCAUUAAGCACUCCGCCUGGGGAGUACGGCCGCAAGGCUGAAACUCAAAGGAAUUGACGGGGACCCGCACAAGCGGUGGAACAUGGGGUUUAAUUCGAAGCAACGCGAAGAACCUUACCAAAUCUUGACAUCCUUUGACACUCUAAAAAUAAAGCUUCCCCU